rnacentral:rRNA from 1 species
GAUGAACGCUGGCGGCGUGCCUAAUACAUGCCAGUCGAGCGAACAGACGAGGAGCUUGCUCCUCUGACGUUAGCGGCGGACGGGUGAGUAACACGUGGAUAACCUACCUAUAAGACUGGGAUAACUUCGGGAAACCGGAGCUAAUACCGGAUAAUAUAUUGAACCGCAUGGUUCAAUAGUGAAAGACGGUUUUGCUGUCACUUAUAGAUGGAUCCGCGCCGCAUUAGCUAGUUGGUAAGGUAACGGCUUACCAAGGCAACGAUGCGUAGCCGACCUGAGAGGAUGAUCGGCCACACUGGAACUGAGACACGGUCCAGACUCCUACGGGAGGCAGCAGUAGGGAAUCUUCGGCAAUGGGCGCAAGCCUGACGGAGCAACGCCGCGUGAGUGAUGAAGGUCUUCGGAUCGUAAAGCUCUGUUAUUGGGAAAGAACAACUGUGUAAGUAACUAUGGACGUCUUGACGGUACCUAAUCAGAAAGCCCCGGCUAACUACGUG